rnacentral:rRNA from 1 species
GAUGAACGCUGGCGGCGUGCCUAAUACAUGCAAGUCGAGCGAACGGACGAGAAGCUUGCUUCUCUGAUGUUAGCGGCGAACGGGUGAGUAACACGUGGAUAACCUACCUAUAAGACUGGGAUAACUUCGGGAAACCGUAGCUAAUACCGGAUAAUAUUUUGAACCGCAUGGUUCAAAAGUGAAAGACGGUCUUGCUGUCACUUAUAGAUGGAUCCGCGCUGCAUUAGCUAGUUGGUAAGGUAACGGCUUACCAAGGCAACGAUGCAUAGCCGACCUGAGAGGGUGAUCGGCCACACUGGAACUGAGACACGGUCCAGACUCCUAAGGGAGGCAGCAGUAGGGAAUCUUCCGCAAUGGGCGAAAGCCUGACGGAGCAAAGCCGCGUGAGUGAAGAAGGUCUUCGGAUCGUAAAAAUCUGUUAUUAGGGAAGAACAUAUGUGUAAGUAACUGUGCACAUCUUGACGGUACCUAAUCAGAAAGCCACGGCUAACUACGUG